UAGUUAAGUUAGCGGUUAGAACGCUGGCCUUGUAAUCCUGGGGUCCCGGGUUCGAUUCCCGG
rnacentral:tRNA from 1 species